GCGGCUCUCGACGCGGCAGUGCACAAAGGAAAAGUGAAGUGUGUGUUGCUUUGGCCGCCGGGGGCGCUGAGGACCUCACGCGAGUAAAAGCCUGGUACUUGGCUUCUUCAUAUCAUGGCCACAAGGAGGUGAGCAAGGAUAGGGACAGAGAUGACACUGAAGAACCAUACAAGGAAUUUUUAUAAAUGUUGAAUUAUACUAAUAGAGGUUGACUCUGGGUUUUACAGCCUGGUGGAUCCAGUUUCCUACUGGCUUGUGGCUGCAGUAUAGGAAUGUUCAAUGCACCACAGGAACCAAGGCUAAAGGAUUGGCUCCAAGACCAGUCAUGGUACCUGAGAAGUAACAGGAGUUGAACUCUAGGCUUACACAAGGCAUCCCAAGCCCUCCUUGUGCCUUGCCUGUGUUGUCUGCCUCACAUGCCAGCCAUUACAAAGCAUUAGCCCUCUAUUUACAUCUGUGCAUAAUAAGUCUGAAAGCUGGAUAAUCUUCAUGCCUUGAGUCUUAC